rnacentral:rRNA from 1 species
CCUGGCUCAGGACGAACGCUGGCGGCGCGCCUAACACAUGCAAGUCGAACGGAGUCAAGAGGAGCUUACUUUUCUUGACUUAGUGGCGAACGGGUGAGUAACGCGUGAGUAACCUGCCCUGGAGUGGGGGACAACAGUUGGAAACGACUGCUAAUACCGCAUAAGCCCACGGCCCGGCAUCGGGCUGAGGGAAAAGGAUUUAUUCGCUUCAGGAUGGACUCGCGUCCAAUUAGCUAGUUGGUGAGGUAACGGCCCACCAAGGCGACGAUUGGUAGCCGGACUGAGAGGUUGAACGGCCACAUUGGGACUGAGACACGGCCCAGACUCCUACGGGAGGCAGCAGUGGGGGAUAUUGCACAAUGGGGGAAACCCUGAUGCAGCGACGCCGCGUGGAGGAAGAAGGUCUUCGGAUUGUAAACUCCUGUCCCAGGGGACGAUAAUGACGGUACCCUGGGAGGAAGCACCGGCUAACUACGUGCCAGCAGCCGCGGUAAAACGUAGGGUGCAAGCGUUGUCCGGAAUUACUGGGUGUAAAGGGAGCGCAGGCGGGAAGACAAGUUGGAAGUGAAAUCUAUGGGCUCAACCCAUAAACUGCUUUCAAAACUGUUUUUCUUGAGUAGUGCAGAGGUAGGCGGAAUUCCCGGUGUAGCGGUGGAAUGCGUAGAUAUCGGGAGGAACACCAGUGGCGAAGGCGGCCUACUGGGCACCAACUGACGCUGAGGCUCGAAAGUGUGGGUAGCAAACAGGAUUAGAUACCCUGGUAGUCCACACCGUAAACGAUGAUUACUAGGUGUGGGGGGACUGACCCCUUCCGUGCCGGAGUUAACACAAUAAGUAAUCCACCUGGGGAGUACGACCGCAAGGUUGAAACUCAAAGGAAUUGACGGGGGCCCGCACAAGCAGUGGAGUAU